rnacentral:rRNA from 1 species
UACAGAGGGGGCAAGCGUUGUUCGGAAUUACUGGGCGUAAAGGGCGCGUAGGCGGCCCGCUAAGUCAGACGUGAAAUCCCCAGGCUCAACCUGGGAACUGCGUCUGAUACUGGAUGGCUUGAAUCCGGGAGAGGGAUGCAGAAUUCCAGGUGUAGCGGUGAAAUGCGUAGAUAUCUGGAGGAAUACCGGUGGCGAAGGCGGCAUCCUGGACCGGCAUUGACGCUGAGGAGCGAAAGCCAGGGGAGCAAACGGG